UACGUAGGGGGCAAGCGUUAUCCGGAUUUACUGGGUGUAAAGGGAGCGUAGACGGCAAGGCAAGUCUGGAGUGAAAGUCCGGGGCCCAACCCCGGGACUGCUCUGGAAACUGUGGUGCUAGAGUGCAGGAGGGGUGGGCGGAAUUCCUAGUGUAGCGGUGAAAUGCGUAGAUAUUAGGAGGAACACCAGCGGCGAAGGCGGCCCACUGGACUGCGACUGACGUUGAGGCUCGAAGGCGUG
rnacentral:rRNA from 1 species